AGAAUGAAAAAAAUUAAAAUUAAUUAAAAAUCACUUGAUGAAGCUUGAAGAAACAAACGGAUUUGUUACGUGCACGAAGUGUGUUUCAUUUGGUUCAAGUAUAUAGGACACGUUUUUAUUCAUGUCACACGCAACGUUGCGUGCUAUCUCACGAAAAGGAUUCUAUGAUAUCAUAGAAAGAACGUCAUUAACCUUAGAGCACUGUCGGACUAAGUUAGUCUCUAUUUAUCAGUGAUCAGGACAAAUUAUUGAAAGUCGAGUCUUACUAUUUUAAGAAAAAAAAAAAAAAAAGUGAAAGAAAUAAGUAAAAAAAAUGAAAAAAGAGAGAGAGAGACAGAAAAAAAGAGAGAAAUAAAGAGAUCGUACACCUUCGUAACGUAACCGUUACGAAGAUCAUGAUAAUGAUAAUAAAAAACAAGAAUCGUUAAAAAGAUCAUGAUAGUAUGCUUAAUCAAGAAGAACAAUAUUGUUUGUGUCGGACAAUUAAAAUCGUAAAUCCUUUCGUUAACUUCAAUACGUACCUAUGUAUAUAUGUAUGCGUGUACAUACGCACGUAUCCAUGAAUUUAAUGUAAGUGAAUUAUAAUCGUAUAAACGCGUAGUGGCAUUAAAUUGAAUAUUAUCUUUUCUUUUUUUUUCUUUUUCUUUCUUCUUUUUUUGUUUUUUGUUUCGACGAGAGUAAACGAUGAAGCGAGAUUAUUUCUCAAAAAUGAGGACGCGUAACUCGCAAAGUGACACAAAAAGGACGGGCUCUCUUAUACAGGCAAGCGAGUCGCAUAAAUCCAAAUGACAGGCACAAUGACGAAUGUCGCGUUGAAAUUUCGUGAAAGUUUGCAAUUAUGCGUGCAUCGUGAAUAACUGAGGAGAGGAAAGAGAGAGAGAGAAAGAAAAAGAGUAAGAGAGAGAGAGAGAGAGAAAGAGAGAGAGAGAAAA